rnacentral:lncRNA from 1 species
AUUUUACAAAUUAUUACAAGUCCCAAUUUUGAACUUUUAUAAUUUAAGACCCGUUCUUCAAUAUCACGGAACAUCUCUAUUUCUUAAGAAUGAAAUAAAAGAUUUUUUUGAAAAACACGGAAUCUUUAAUUACCAAUUAAGACAUAAACCCCUUUGGAAUUUUGGAAGGAAUACACGAAAACACUGUUUAAGCGGGCAUUAUCAAUAUGAUUUAUCUCGGAUUAAAUGGGCUAGAUUAGUACCACAAGAAUGGCGAAAUAGAGCCAAUCAACACUGUAUGGCUCAAAAUAAAGAUUUAAUUAAAAGAGAUUCGUAUGAAAAAAAUGGAUUAACUCAUUACGAAAAACAACAUUUUUUUGAAGCAGACCUAUUACGUAAUCAAAAAUCGAAUUUUAAAAAACACUAUAGAUAUGAUCUUUUAUCAUAUAAAUCGCUUAAUUAUGAAGAUAAGAAAGACUCGUAUAUUGAUAGAUCACUAGUCCAAGUAAAUAAUAAAGAAGAGUAUUAUUCUAAUUACAAUAGAAAGAAAGUAAAAUUGUUGGCUAUGCUGGGAAGUAUCUCUAUCAAUAAUUAUAUAGGGGAAGAUGAUAUUAUGGAUAUGGAAAAAUUCGUGUAUAGAAAAUAUUUUGAUUGGAGAAUUCUUAAUUUUUGUCUUAGAAAUAAGGCCAAUAUGGAAGCCUGGGUUGAUAUGGAUACUGGUACCAGCAGUAAUCAAAAUACUAGGAUUGGGUCCAAUAAUUAUCAAAAAAUUAAUGCAAUUAAUACCAGAGUCCCCUUUUAUCUUACAAUUCAUCAAGAUGAAGAAAUUAACCCAUCCACUCAAAAGGGGUUCUUUUGUGAUUGGAUGGGAAUGAAUGAAGAAAUACUAAGUUGUCCUAUAUCAAACCCAGAAUCUUGGUUCUUCCCAGAAUUUGUACUACUUUUUAAUGCAUAUAGAACGAAACCCUGGAUUAUACCAAUCAAAUUACUUCUUUUCAAUUUUAAUGGAAAUAGUAAGAAAAAUAGAACCGGAAAGAAAGAGGCGGAUCUUUUUAUAUCACCUACUCAAAAAGAAUAUUUUGAAUUAUCGAAUCAAAGUAAAGAAGAAAACGAACUCGCAGACCAAGGAACUCCGAGAUCGGAUGCACAAAAGCAAGUAAUUCUUGGAUCAGUUCUCUCAAACCAAGAAAAAGAUGGUGAAGAAAAUUAUACGGGAUCGGACAUGAAAACCCGUAUAAAGAAAAAGCAAUCCAAAAGAGAAACCGAAGUACAGCUCGAUUUCUUCCUAAAAAGAUAUUUGUGUUUGCAGUUGCGAUGGAGGGGGGCUGUUUCUUUCAGAGAAAAAAUACUCAAUGAUAUGCAAGUAUAUUGUCACCUGGUUCGACUAAUAAAUCCUAGCGACGUUGCUAUAGCCUCUAUUCAAAGGGGAGAAAUGAGUCUGCCUAUUUUGAUCACUAAGAAGAAGUUCGCUCUUAAAGAAUUGACGAAAGGGGAAUGCUUAUUAUCGAACCCCGUCGUUUGUCUGUAAAAAAUGAUGGACAAUUUUUUCUAUAUCAAAUCGUAGGUAUUGCAUUGGUUCAUAAGAAUAAGCGCAAAAUUACUAAAAGAUACCAAGAAAAGGGCUAUGUUGAUAAAAAAGAUUUUGAUGAAUUCAUUGCAAAACAUCAAAAAAUGACUGGAAAUAGAAACAAAAAUCAUUAUGAUUUGCUUGUUCCUGAAACUAUUUUACUCCCUAAACGUCGUAGAGAAUUAAGAACCCUAAUUUGUUUCCAGGAUAUCGAAGCAAAUCAUAAUGUAUUUUUGUUUCUAUUUCCAGUCAUUUUUUUGAUGUUUUGCAAUGAAUUCAUCAAAAUCUUUUUUAUCAACAUAGCCCUUUUCUUGGUAUCUUUUAGUAAUUUUGCGCUUAUUCUUAUGAACCAAUGCAAUACCUACGAUUUGAUAUAGAAAAAAUUGUCCAUCAUUUUUUACAGACAAACGACGGGGUUCGAUAAUAAGCAUUCCCCCUUUCGUCAAUUCUUUAAGAGCGAACUUCUUCUUAGUGAUCAAAAUAGGCAGACUCAUUUCUCCCCUUUGAAUAGAGGCUAUAGCAACGUCGCUAGGAUUUAUUAGUCGAACCAGGUGACAAUAUACUUGCAUAUCAUUGAGUAUUUUUUCUCUGAAAGAAACAGCCCCCCUCCAUCGCAACUGCAAACACAAAUAUCUUUUUAGGAAGAAAUCGAGCUGUACUUCGGUUUCUCUUUUGGAUUGCUUUUUCUUUAUACGGGUUUUCAUGUCCGAUCCCGUAUAAUUUUCUUCACCAUCUUUUUCUUGGUUUGAGAGAACUGAUCCAAGAAUUACUUGCUUUUGUGCAUCCGAUCUCGGAGUUCCUUGGUCUGCGAGUUCGUUUUCUUCUUUACUUUGAUUCGAUAAUUCAAAAUAUUCUUUUUGAGUAGGUGAUAUAAAAAGAUCCGCCUCUUUCUUUCCGGUUCUAUUUUUCUUACUAUUUCCAUUAAAAUUGAAAAGAAGUAAUUUGAUUGGUAUAAUCCAGGGUUUCGUUCUAUAUGCAUUAAAAAGUAGUACAAAUUCUGGGAAGAACCAAGAUUCUGGGUUUGAUAUAGGACAACUUAGUAUUUCUUCAUUCAUUCCAUCCAAUCACAAAAGAACCCCUUUUGAGUGGAUGGGUUAAUUUCUUCAUCUUGAUGAAUUGUAAGAUAAAAGGGGACUCUGGUAUUAAUUGCAUUAAUUUUUUGAUAAUUAUUGGACCCAAUCCUAGUAUUUUGAUUACUGCUGGUACCAGUAUCCAUAUCAACCCAGGCUUCCAUAUUGGCCUUAUUUCUAAGACAAAAAUUAAGAAUUCUCCAAUCAAAAUAUUUUCUAUACACGAAUUUUUCCAUAUCCAUAAUAUCAUCUUCCCCUAUAUAAUUAUUGAUAGAGAUACUUCCCAGCAUAGCCAACAAUUUUACUUUCUUUCUAUUGUAAUUAGAAUAAUACUCUUCUUUAUUAUUUACUUGGACUAGUGAUCUAUCAAUAUACGAGUCUUUCUUAUCUUCAUAAUUAAGCGAUUUAUAUGAUAAAAGAUCAUAUCUAUAGUGUUUUUUAAAAUUCGAUUUUUGAUUACGUAAUAGGUCUGCUUCAAAAAAAUGUUGUUUUUCGUAAUGAGUUAAUCCAUUUUUUUCAUACGAAUCUCUUUUAAUUAAAUCUUUAUUUUGAGCCAUACAGUGUUGAUUGGCUCUAUUUCGCCAUUCUUGUGGUACUAAUCUAGCCCAUUUAAUCCGAGAUAAAUCAUAUUGAUAAUGCCCGCUUAAACAGUGUUUUCGUGUAUUCCUUCCAAAAUUCCAAAGGGGUUUAUGUCUUAAUUGGUAAUUAAAGAUUCCGUGUUUUUCAAAAAAAUCUUUUAUUUCAUUCUUAAGAAAUAGAGAUGUUCCGUGAUAUUGAAGAACGGGUCUUAAAUUAUAAAAGUUCAAAAUUGGGACUUGUAAUAAUUUGUAAAAUACAUAUGCUUGUGAUUGUGAAAAAGACAAUAAAUUACAAGAAAUCUUUGAAUUCUUAUUACUAGUCUUAGAAAUCAAUUUUUGGAUAGUCGAAAUAAUUCUAUUUUUAUUUGUUUUAUUAAUUCUUUCGGGAUUUGCUUCAUUAUUGUGGAUGUUUUUCUCAAUAAUUUUCAUUUGUUUUCUUGUUGAUUCACGAAAAGGUUUUGUAUUGAUUCUUGGAAUAGUAAGGGUAGAUAUAAAAAUAUUUCUGUAUAUCUUUUCAAUGCCAAAUUUUAGAAACAAAUAGGAUUUACGGAUUAAUCGAGCGUUUCUUUUUUUUAAUAUCCGCCAAAUCCUUUUUGAUGGGUCUAAUAUUUUAACAGAAUACGUUGGUUUGUUCGAACUAAUAUUUGUUUCUUGAGUUAGCGAUCCUUUUUUCUUUUCUUUUGUAAUUUUAUAUAUUUGAUUUCUGAUUCUGCUUGUUCUAUUAGUCAGAUCUUUCAUUUUUUUUUCAGUCCGGGAUAAUUUCGUCCAAUCCAUAGAUGAAAUUUCAAUAGACGGUUCGUGAAUCAUCUGCUUACUGAUUAUCGAAUUUUUUUGAGUUUCCCUCAAUUUCUCGAUUUCUCUCAAGUUUAUUUUUGAAAGUUCUUUUAUUUUGCCUUCUUUAAAAUCCCUUAAAACUAUAAAAGACUUAGUUUUCAAUUUUCGAAUUUUUUUUUUUAGUUCUUUAAAAAUGGGUUCAAAAAAGGAACGUCGUUUUUGGGGAGAACCGAACGGCAUGUCAGUUUCCAGCCCAAAAAUUGUUAAAAAACAAACAUCAGUUUCUUGUUCACUUUUUGGAUCUUUAUGAGAGGAUUGUAUCGUAGAUCCGUGCCAGGGUUUCAGGUGAAAGGGGAAUAGGAUCUUUAUCUGAAUACCUUCUAUUAACCAGUUUUUCGGAAAUUCUGUUUCAGAUAAAUUAACACCACUAUAAGUGCAUUUAACAUAAAUUUCACGAUUCCAAUCCUUAAAAUCCUCGGACCACUCGGGAUCUUGGAAUAAUAGUAUGCGAACCACAUUUUUAGCUAUUAUCAAUAACGGUAAUACAAUAUAUUUUCUAAGAAUCGAUUGGAUUACUAACAUAGAACUUCUUAGUAUUCGAGUAAGUAAACGCUUAUCCCAUCCUUCUGCUUGUUUUAUACGUACCAUUUCUUGUCUUUGGUAUCUUUCGCCUUUGAGCUUCUUUUUUUCUUUUUUGUCCAAUUUUCUUGUCUUUGCGUUUGUAUAAUCAGAAAGUUUUUGGUUUUUAUUUUUUACCAUCCAAUUUCGAAGAAUUACUUUCAUCAGUUGGGAAAUAUCAAAAGACAAAUAAAGGGUUUUGUCUAUUCUGUCCAAAAAAAGAGGGGAAUGGGCAUUUGCUUGAACUGGUUUCCAAAUAACGGUUUUACGUCUUUGUGCGCGCAUGGAACCUUUUAUUAUAUAUCGACGAAAAUCCGAUUGUUCCAAAUAAUGGGGCAAAGACACAUCCCCUUUUGUCUGGUGAUCAACAGCAACCACUAAACGUUUGGCUUUUCGUGAACGAAAUGCAUGUUU